rnacentral:tRNA from 1 species
UGUUGGGUGGUGCAAUGGCAAGCAUAUCAGUUUUUGACACUGACGAUAUUGGUUCGAGUCCAAUCUCAACAA